rnacentral:rRNA from 1 species
AUUGAACGCUGGCGGCAGGCCUAACACAUGCAAGUCGAACGGUAACAGGAAGCAGCUUGCUGCUUUGCUGACGAAUGGCGGACGGGUGAGUAAUGUCUGGGAAACUGCCCGAUGGAGGGGGAUAACUACUGGAAACGGUAGCUAAUACCGCAUAACGUCGCAAGCCCAAAGAGGGGGACCUUAGGGCCUCUUGCCAUCGGAUGUGCCCAGAUGGGAUUAGCUAGUAGGUGGGGUAACGGCUCACCUAGGCGACGAUCCCUAGCUGGUCUGAGAGGAUGACCAGCCACACUGGAACUGAGACACGGUCCAGACUCCUACGGGAGGCAGCAGUGGGGAAUAUUGCACAAUGGGCGCAAGCCUGAUGCAGCCAUGCCGCGUGUAUGAAGAAGGCCUUCGGGUUGUAAAGUACUUUCAGCGGGGAGGAAGGGAGUAAAGUUAAUACCUUUGCUCAUUGACGUUACCCGCAGAAGAAGCACCGGCUAACUCCGUG